rnacentral:rRNA from 1 species
UACGGAGGGUGCAAACGUUGCUCGGAAUCAUUGGGCGUAAAGCGCACGUAGGCGGCCUGUUAAGUCGGGUGUGAAAGCCCUGGGCUCAACCCAGGAAGUGCACUCGAAACUGGCGGGCUUGAAUAUGGAAGAGGGUCGCGGAAUUCCCGGUGUAGAGGUGAAAUGCGUAGAUAUCGGGAGGAACACCUGUGGCGAAAGCGGCGCACUGGACCACAACUGACGCUGAGGCGCGAAAGCUAGGGGAGCAAACAGG